CUCUUAGCAAACAAUGGCUUCCUCUGUUCCUACAUUCUACACCACGUUUCUUUUCCUCUGUUUUGCCCUCCUCUUAUUCUCUACAUCGGAUUGCAGGUUCAUUUUUGCUGCAAGCUUGCUUCCUGGGGAUUUAAGCAGAGAGGGAAGAAUUGAAUGUAUGCAAAAAUAGCAUGGAGAGUUGUUUUAGAUUCUGGAGUGUUGGGUUUGUGAUGUUUUGCCUCUGGAAGAGAGCCUUGCGGGUUUGUUGAUGGCUUCUGGCUAUGUGUACUGUUUUCUCCUUGGUAAUACCUAUUGUCCUGUGGUUUUUUUGCAGGUUUUGACACUACAAACGUUGCAGUGCUAUAAGGUUUGUGCCAUAUUAGGUUCUGGGACUGUUCUGGCAUAAUGGUUAAGGUGCUGGUAUGUGAGGACUUAAUUGAAAGGGCAAAGUCAGUUUUCGUGGAUGUCUCUCUCUGCCAACAUUUGAAGGUGUUUUCUUGGAUUAGUCCUAUAUUCUUACUUGGCUUAUUUGGAAGGGCUCUGUUGCUUCGUGCUUUGAAAGUAGCAAAUUGAUACAAAGAGACCCCUCUAUGUAUAGUUUAUGUAGUUAGCCUUUGGGCAUUUGGUAUUCCCUUAUCUUUCUCUGUUCUGUUUUAGUCUUAGUUUAAUCUUUCCUUCUCUUUCUCCUCUAUUGUAUUUCUCAUCUAUUUGGGUUGGGGCACCCCCUUUGCCCCUCUUGAUACAACUCUUUGGCUUAUAAAAAAAAAAACUUUAAUAAUUACUUUG